rnacentral:rRNA from 1 species
AUUGAACGCUGGCGGCAGGCCUAACACAUGCAAGUCGAACGAGUGGCGGACGGGUGAGUAAUGUCUGGGAAACUGAGUGAUGGAGGGGGAUAACUACUGGAAACGGGAGCUAAUACCGCAUACCAUACACUCGGCCCAGAUGGGAAUAGCUUGUUGGUGGGGUAAAGGCGCCCCAAGGCGACGCUCCCUAGCAGGUCUGAGAGGAUGACCAGCCACACGGGAACUGAGACAAGGUCCAGACUCCUACGGGAGGCAGCCGUGGGGAAUAUUGCACAAGGGGCGCAAGCCUGAUGCAGCCAUGCCGCGUGUAUGAAGAAGGCCUUCGGGUUGUAAAGUACUUUCAGCGGGGAGGCGUUACCCGCAGAAGAAGCACCGGCUAACUCCGUGCCAGCAGCCGCGGUAAUUC